AUUGAACGCUGGCGGCAUGCUUUACACAUGCAAGUCGAACGGUAACAGGCCGCAAGGUGCUGACGAGUGGCGAACGGGUGAGUAAUGCAUCGGAACGUGCCCAGUCGUGGGGGAUAACGCAGCGAAAGCUGUGCUAAUACCGCAUACGAUCUCUGGAUGAAAGCGGGGGACCGGAAGGCCUCGCGCGAUUGGAGAGGCCGAUGUCAGAUUAGGUAGUUGGUGGGGUAAAGGCUUACCAAGACAACGAUCUGUAGCUGGUCUGAGAGGACGAACAGCCACACUGGGACUGAGACACGGCCCAGACUCCUACGGGAGGCAGCAGUGGGGAAUUUUGGACAAUGGGCGCAAGCCUGAUCCAGCAAUGCCGCGUGCAGGAAGAAGGCCUUCGGGUUGUAAACUGCUUUUGUACGGAACGAAAAGGUUUGGGUUAAUACCCUGGGCCGAUGACGGUACCGUAAGAAUAAGCACCGGCUAACUACGUGCCAGCCGCCGCGGUAA
rnacentral:rRNA from 1 species